UCACAGUAUUGCAUCACAAUUCUGUCAUUUCACAAGAUAGGCUGCUUUAUGCAAAGGAGAAAACGGAAGGUUUUCAGUGUAACUGUCAUCAGAGGAAGGGUUGAGCUUUGUGACAGAGCUACGGCCUUCCCCCUGCUGUUCUCUGGCAGUGUUGCAUAACCAGGCUGGACAUGCUGUUUGAAGGAUGGGUAUGGUGGCUUUUGCAAUGUGAUAUUGCAGCUAAACUGCUUGUCAUGAAUUUAGCUGCUGAAACUAGGACCAUGUGGACUGUAGAAGAAAUACGGCUCUGGUCUUCACAAUCAAGGAGGAACAGGAGAGAUGAACAGGAGCAUGAGGCCAGCAACAGGGAAUGGGGGGGCCAUGUGUUUUCUACGGCGGCAGAAGACAGGAGUUGAGCAUGGGAGGCUGAAACAGCGGGUGACACUGGAGACAGAUGGACCCUUAGGGGGGCAGGAGAAAUGCUACAGAGCUACAGUCACAUGUCUGUUCAGUUUAGGAAUUAAAACACCCUUGUCUAU